ACUUACUUUACUUUACUUCGUGAUAGAAGACUUUAUUUAAAUUAUUUGGUCCUUAUGAAAAUUUCUGAAUAAAUUUAAAUCCAGUUUAACAUGUUUGGUUUGAUAGUAUAGACGUUAGGUACAGAUGCAAGGUGCGACGGCGAGCAGGGCAAAUAUCGCCGCCUUGGAGAGCGUGCUCAACACGGCGGCCAUCGCGGCAGCGAGUGCCAUGAGGGCGACGAGAGCUGCCAGCAGAGCGUCCAUGCUGGCGACAAGCCCAGUGGGACGCACGACGAACUAACUUUGCACUGAGAUCCAAACAAUACGAGUAACGCGGAAUACGCGCGCCGAGCGUGUCUGCCGGCCGCGAAUGUUUUUUCUAAAUGCGCCAAGGAACGAACGCGUCAAUGGCUGGCUUCCCCUCGGCGCCAGAUGCACAUGCGCGAACAGCUGAUCCCCGAAGGGAUCGCUUGAUCUACAAAAAAAAAACCGUUCCCUAUGUCAUGUAAAAAUGUAAAAUGUUUUAAAAAUUUGCGCCAGUGUAUUUUAGAUUUGACUGAAUGCCAUUAGUUUUUGUCUUUUGAGUUUUAAAAUCUUUUUCUAUAAGUAGUUGUAAAAAAAGGUUCUAUUGUGCGUUUCAAUCUUAAUUACAUUAGGAAAUGAUUGCAAGUGGAUUUGAAUAAUAAUAAUUGAUUAUCACA